rnacentral:lncRNA from 1 species
UUAUUUUUCCCCUCACAAAUUGCAUGUUGUUUUACCUUAAAUCUUUAAUCUUUAUUUCGAUAUGUGUUGGUUGAGUUCAUCAGAUAAUGAUAUUUAUUAUAUGUGAUGAUUGCGAAUUGGGAAAUGUGGCUUGUAGAACAUGCCGCCUGAUGGGUUACAUCAGGACCGCGUGCGCAUCGGUAAUGAUCAUGGACAUGUAAUAA